rnacentral:rRNA from 1 species
UACGUAGGGGGCAAGCGUUGUCCGGAUUUACUGGGCGUAAAGAGCGUGUAGGCGGCCACACAGGUCCGUUGUGAAAACUGGAGGCUCAACCUCCAGACGUCGACGGAAACCGUAUGGCUAGAGUCCGGAAGAGGAGAGUGGAAUUCCUGGUGUAGCGGUGAAAUGCGCAGAUAUCAGGAAGAACACCAAUGGCGAAGGCAGCUCUCUGGGACGGUACUGACGCUGAGACGCGAAAGCGUGGGGAGCGAACAGG